rnacentral:rRNA from 1 species
AUUGAACGCUGGCGGCAGGCCUAACACAUGCAAGUCGAACGAGUGGCGGACGGGUGAGUAAUGUAUGGGAAACUGCCCGAUGGAGGGGGAUAACUACUGGAAACGGUGGCUAAUACCGCAUACCAUCGGAUGAGCCCAGAGGGGAUUAGCUUGUUGGUGGGGUAACGGCUCACCAAGGCGACGAUCCCUCGCUGGUCCGGAAGGAUGACCAGCCACACUGGAACUGGGACACGGCCCAGACUCCUACGGGAGGCAGCAGUGGGGAAUAUUGCACAAUGGGCGCAAGCCUGAUGCAGCCAUGCCGCGUGUAUGAAGAAGGCCUUCGGGUUGUAAGGUACUUUCAGCGGGGAGGCGUUACCCGCAGAAGAAGCACCGGCUAACUCCGUGCCAGCAGCCGCGGUAAUAC